GCUCUGUUUGGGAGUACAUAUAAUAAAAAUUUGGAAUAAUACAGAGAAGAUUAACAUGGCCUGUACACAAGGAUGACAUGCAAAUGCAUGUAGUGUUCUGUAUUUUU